GACGAACGCUGGCGGCGUGCUUAACACAUGCAAGUCGAACGGAAAGGCCCUGCUUUUGUGGGGUGCUCGAGUGGCGAACGGGUGAGUAACACGUGAGUAACCUGCCCUUGACUUUGGGAUAACUUCAGGAAACUGGGGCUAAUACCGGAUAGGAGCUCCUGCUGCAUGGUGGGGGUUGGAAAGUUUCGGCGGUUGGGGAUGGACUCGCGGCUUAUCAGCUUGUUGGUGGGGUAGUGGCUUACCAAGGCUUUGACGGGUAGCCGGCCUGAGAGGGUGACCGGCCACAUGGGAACUGGGAUACGGCCCAGACUCCUACGGGAGGCAGCAGUGGGGAAUAUUGCACAAUGGGCGGAAGCCUGAUGCAGCAACGCCGCGUGCGGGAUGACGGCCUUCGGGUUGUAAACCGCUUUCGCCUGUGACGAAGCGUGAGGGACGGUAAUGGGUAAAGAAGCACCGGCGAACUACGU
rnacentral:rRNA from 1 species